GGAAAUAGUAUCUAUACUUUYUAUAUUUGGCGAAUUUAGUACGACAUCCAGGAACUUUUGGCAUAAUAACUAUAUCCAGACUAUGACCAGUGUCAAGCGAUUGCUCAACCCUCUUCGUCGACGGAAGUGAAUCAGGGGUGGGCAGCACCUGCGUAGGGGUGGAGUUUCUCCUGGGCACGCUCAGUGGUUCCCUAUGUCUGUCCGUGUGGGCUCCUGUCGUCCCACUGCGCGUCUCACUGUCCGACAACGAGCUGAGCGCCAUCGAUGGCUGGAACCACUACACGGAGAACGGCUGUUCACCAGUGUAUCAGAGGUCCAUGGUUCAGGUUCUGACCCAGUUCAGUGCUCAGGGUGGCCAGGGUCAGCUGACCUACCUGCUGGGCUCCUCUGAUUGGUUUGUGGAUGCCACAGAGUUGGUCCGUAAUUGGCUGAGGGUAGGGAAUCCUCGCGUGGCGGUCCUCGACAAGCAGAGCAAUCUGAUUGGUCUACACCCYGGGAAAACUUCAGU